UCUAUGUAAUUGGACCAAUAAUAAAAUGUAGUGAAUUGAAACACUUAAUAUAUAAUUAAAAAGUUUAGAUAAUUAACAAUAUAAAACAAACAAGAUCAUAUUAUUUAAAAUGUAUGUGAUUAGUUUUCAUAAAAGUUAUGUGAAUUGGGAAAACUGAGGAUGCAACUCCAGUCCAGAGGUGGCGCUACUUGCUGCACAUCACGGUUGUUCACAGCCAAACGUUUGAGCGCUGCAUUUCUACUUCCUGUUGCCCUUCAACUGUGUGGGGAGUGGAGCGAGAUCAAUGUUAUGAUACAAAACUAUUGUGGUAUUUUUGUCAUUCUCCUCAACGGGACAUCCAUGUGGCGACAUGGCUGGUAUUAUCUCCGUGUUCAAUCUGGUCAAGCAGAUGAGGGGCCUUCAUUUACUGCCGACAUAGAUGAGGUUCUGAUCAAGAAGGUGAUGCAACGCCCAUGCUCAACCUGGAGGAAGGAGGUUCUCCGGGAGCCAGCAAUUCCAGACUUCCAGAACAGAUGGCACUUUUUGAUGCCAGCGAGAUCAAUUUGGAAUUCAUGUAAAUUGCCACUGUACCUCUGACCUCAAUUCUUUGGUGAACUGGACUAUCGGGCAAGUGGCCUUAUCCGGAUCUUCUGUACCGAAGGUGGAGCUGUAGGACGGAAGAUCUCUGCCAUAAUGACCCACAUGGAACAUGAUGCCGGCGAACUGUCUGUGUAUGAACUUCAGCGACUUGAACAUCAGAGAGAAGGUUUUUUUGUCAUCUUUGAAGAUUUCAC